AGCGAACGCUGGCGGCAGGCUUAACACAUGCAAGUCGAACGGUCCUUCGGGAUAGUGGCGGACGGGUGAGUAACACGUGGGAACGUACCCUUAGGUUCGGAACAACACAGGGAAACUUGUGCUAAUACCGGAUAAGCCCUUCGGGGGAAAGAUUUAUCGCCUUUGGUGCGGCCCGCGUCUGAUUAGCUUGUUGGUGAGGUAAUGGCUCACGAAGGCUACGAACAGUAGCUGGUCUGAGAGGAUGGCCAGCCACACUGGGACUGAGACACGGCCCAGACUCCUACGGGAGGCAGCAGUGGGGAAUCUUGCGCAAUGGGCGAAAGCCUGACGCAGCCAUGCCGCGUGGAUGAUGAAGGUCUUAGGAUUGUAAAAUCCGUUCACCGGGGACGAUAAUGACGGUACCCGGAGAAGAAGCCCCGGCUAACUUCGUGCCAGCCGCCGCGGUAA
rnacentral:rRNA from 1 species